UCGAGGAUCUUCGGCAAUGGGCGCAAGCCCGACCGAGCGACGCCGCGUGUGCGACGAAGGCCUUCGGGUUGUAAAGCACUGUCGAGGGGGAGGAAAGCCGCAAGGCCUGACCUAUCCCUGGAGGAAGCACGGGCUAAGUUCGUGCCAGCAGCCGCGGUAAGACGAACCGUGCGAACGUUGUUCGGAAUCACUGGGCUUAAAGGGCGCGUAGGCGGGCUGCCGCGUCCGGGGUGAAAUCCUCCCGCUCAACGGGAGAACGGCCUCGGAUACGGGCGGCCUCGAGGGGGGUAGGGGCGUCUGGAACUGUGGGUGGAGCGGUGAAAUGCGUUGAUAUCCACAGGAACUCCGGUGGCGAAGGCGAGGCGCUGGACCCCAUCUGACGCUGAGGCGCGAAAGCCAGGGGAGCGAACGGGAUUAGAUACCCCCGUAGUCC
rnacentral:rRNA from 1 species